AGUGAACGCUGGCGGUAGGCCUAACACAUGCAAGUCGAACGGCAGCACAGUAAGAGCUUGCUCUUACGGGUGGCGAGUGGCGGACGGGUGAGGAAUACAUCGGAAUCUACUUUUUCGUGGGGGAUAACGUAGGGAAACUUACGCUAAUACCGCAUGCGACCUACGGGUGAAAGCAGGGGAUCUUCGGACCUUGCGCGAUUGAAUGAGCCGAUGUCGGAUUAGCUAGUUGGCGGGGUAAAGGCCCACCAAGGCGACGAUCCGUAGCUGGUCUGAGAGGAUGAUCGGCCACACUGGAACUGAGACACGGUCCAGACUCCUACGGGAGGCAGCAGUGGGGAAUAUUGGACAAUGGGCGCAAGCCUGAUCCAGCCAUACCGCGUGGGUGAAGAAGGCCUUCGGGUUGUAAAGCCCUUUUGUUGGGAAAGAAAAGCAGCAGGUUAAUACCCCGCUGUUCUGACGGUACCCAAAGAAUAAGCACCGGCUAACUUCGUG
rnacentral:rRNA from 1 species